CAGUCGCCGCGGUAAUACGAAGGGUGCAAGCGUUAAUCGGAAUUACUGGGCGUAAAGCGCGCGUAGGUUGUUUGGUAAGAUGGAUGUGAAAUCCCCGGGCUCAACCUGGGAACUGCAUCCAUAACUGCCUGACUAGAGUACGGUAGAGGGUGGUGGAAUUUCCUGUGUAGCGGUGAAAUGCGUAGAUAUAGGAAGGAACACCAGUGGCGAAGGCGACCACCUGGACUGAUACUGACACUGAGGUGCGAAAGCGUGGGGAGCAAACAGGAUUAGAUACCCGCGUAGUCCCUGUCUCUUAUAC
rnacentral:rRNA from 1 species